rnacentral:rRNA from 1 species
GACGAACGCUGGCGGCGUGCCUAAUACAUGCAAGUAGAACGCACAGUUUAUACCGUAGCUUGCUACACCAUAAACUGUGAGUUGCGAACGGGUGAGUAACGCGUAGGUAACCUGCCUGGUAGCGGGGGAUAACUAUUGGAAACGAUAGCUAAUACCGCAUAAUAUUAAUUAUUGCAUGAUAAUUGAUUGAAAGAUGCAAUUGCAUCACUACCAGAUGGACCUGCGUUGUAUUAGCUAGUAGGUGAGGUAACGGCUCACCUAGGCGACGAUACAUAGCCGACCUGGGAAGGUGAUCGGCCACACUGGGAAUGAGACACGGCCCAGACUCCUACGGGAGGCAGCAGGAGGGGAUCUUCGGCAAUGGACGAAAGUCUGACCGAGCAACGCCGCGUGAGGGAAGAAGGGUUUCGGAUCGUAAAGCUCUGUUGUAAGAGAAGAACGGGUGUGAGAGUGGAAAGUUCACACUGUGACGGUAUCUUAACAGAAAGGGACGGCUAACUACGUG